rnacentral:lncRNA from 1 species
UUGGUAGGUGCUCCUGUUCUCCUUCCACUGACUUUUCCUUCUCUCGUUUUCUUUCCAGGCAAAUGGGCUGAGUUAAAGAAAUGUUCCAAAACUGUUUCUAGGAGAACCCCCAGAAGACACCGGGGUGGGGCAAAAUGAUUCUUCUUGAAGGCUGCUCUCAGAAGCUGGAGAGGAGCCAGAAGAGGCAUAGAAGACAGCGAGAGCUUUGAAACCACGCCCUCUGAGGACUGCUGAAGGACUUGGAGACGUUUAGCCAGGAAAAGAGAAGAAUUAGCUGGAACAUGAUUGCUGCCUCCAGAUAGCUGAACGACUGCCACAAGGAUGAGGAGUUAAUUGUGAAAGAUUUCAUUUUGUGCAUUUUAACACAAUUAUAAGAAAAAAGUCCAUCAACUUGCCCAGACUGCCAGAGGGCUUCAUGAUACUGAAAGGAUUAAGAACCCUGGCUCUUGAGGAAGACUCCUGCCAGGUAGGAUGAAUCCUGAUGGAAGAUUUAGGGGAGCACACAGACAAGAAUCACACAGUCUGGAUGGCCUGAGUGGGCUAUGAUUUGCAUCUCUGAAAGCAAUAGGAUGUUUUUUUUUUAACUCUAAACAGCAACAUCAAUUAAAUGUACUC